AUUGAACGCUGGCGGCAGGCCUAACACAUGCAAGUCGAGCGGAUGAAGGGAGCUUGCUCCUGGAUUCAGCGGCGGACGGGUGAGUAAUGCCUAGGAAUCUGCCUGGUAGUGGGGGAUAACGUCCGGAAACGGGCGCUAAUACCGCAUACGUCCUGAGGGAGAAAGUGGGGGAUCUUCGGACCUCACGCUAUCAGAUGAGCCUAGGUCGGAUUAGCUAGUUGGUGGGGUAAAGGCCUACCAAGGCGACGAUCCGUAACUGGUCUGAGAGGAUGAUCAGUCACACUGGAACUGAGACACGGUCCAGACUCCUACGGGAGGCAGCAGUGGGGAAUAUUGGACAAAGGGCGAAAGCCUGAUCCAGCCAUGCCGCGUGUGUGAGGAAGGUCUUCGGAUUGUAAAGCACUUUAAGUUGGGAGGAAGGGCAGUAAGUUAAUACCUUGCUGUUUUGACGUUACCAACAGAAUAAGCACCGGCUAACUUCGUG
rnacentral:rRNA from 1 species